rnacentral:rRNA from 1 species
UAGGGAAUCUUCGGCAAUGGGGCAACCCUGACCGAGCAACGCCGCGUGAGUGAAGAAGGUUUUCGGAUCGUAAAGCUCUGUUGUAAGAGAAGAACGUGUGUGAGAGUGGAAAGUUCACACAGUGACGGUAACUUACCAGAAAGGGACGGCUAACUACGUGCCAC